GCCACAGGCAGCGAUCCCACGUCAACAUUGGGACGGAUUGUGAAUUCAGAGCUGAAUAAGGAUUCCAAAGAGGGGACACCGGCAUGGGGGCCGUUAAGUGCUGGGAGAGUUCGGAUACGAUGUUCCCUCGCAAAGCCCGUGUGACGGAGGAACUCUGAAAGGAAGGACUCAAGGUUCCAAGGGGCACGAUGGUGAAGCCGAUGUCAACAACGCAGCCAAACGUGGCUACACAGGACUCUAAGUAGAAAGGGAGGUUGCCCCCAAGAGUCUCUCAAGGGACCUAUCGGGCCGGGGAGAAGGUCCCAAGCCACGCCCACCUUGGAUGGGAAAAGCAACCUGGCUGGUGGUGACAGAACUCUUUGGAAUCCAACCCAGUCUCUGAGGACCGUGGGACACCCCCUCCCCCCGUCCCCACCCCCACCCCGAUACCCAAGAGAUCCAGGGCUAGACUUACCCUGGGAUCUUCUUCAUCGGGCGGGGGAGCCCUUGGCCCAACUGGGGCCCUCCGCUGCUUCUGGAGGGUCUGGGCUCUCACCAGUCUCUUGGCCCAAGAUGUGGGGUCCCGACGUGCCAUCAUCUUCGUCUCCUGGGGGUUUUAUGACCGCCUUUUUCAGGGGUGGACUGUUGGGCCACCUGAAACACACACAAACACACACAUGUCGAUGGUUAAGCACGUUGGAUAUUCACACACCCACAGGAAGCCACCUGCUAACUCCCUGCCUGUGUGGUCAUGAGGAGACCUCACCACCAGUCGGUCAAAUCUGUAGCACACAAUGUGCUGUGCGCAUCCUCGGAUAUUGUGUGUUCCUCUGCCAUGACUACCUAGUCCAAGAGUAAACCCCACCUGCCACAGGGCCCGUGGCCUAGGUAUGGGGGGUUGAGCUUUCAACCCCAAACAAACAACUGAUUCUGGAGACUGGACUUAGGUCUCUCACGAUUCACUCCGGUAGAAGACACGGUGAUUCUAUCUCCCUUGACGGACAGAAUGAUCGAAGACACAGGGCAUGGCGUGUGCCACCCUUUGGCAGGUCUGCUUGAAGUCAGGGAUAAGGGAUGCUUCCUGUGACAACUUGAAUCGCUACUCUUGCCAUUUCAUUAGGCAACUUCCAAACACAAAUUCAUACAGAGAAGUUACCUUCCUCUCUACCGCACUAGCAGGCUGGCGCUGAGAUGGGCAGGUGCUGCAGCAGCCCCGCUGGAAGCGAUGCAGCAUCCAGAACGACGGAGGAAGGGGCGGAGAGGGACCUCUGCUUUCCAGGCUGCCUUUUAUACUGCCUCUGGUCACCUGACAUGGAACGUACCCUAACCUAAUCAGUUACCUGUACCUUAAUUGCAAUUAACUUAAUCCAAUUACAUGACCUGGAAAGGUCUAUCUGCACAGCCCACUCUAAGAUCCUGUCCACUGCUGACAGACAUUCUAAAACCUACUUGUACAGCUGCAAGCUUUGAACAAUAGAUGUUCCCCGUCAGACAUGUAACACUGGUGCCUGUACCCCUGUCUUCUUUUCCAUCUUUUUUGUUGUUUUGUUUUGUUUCGUUUUAAAAAAUGUGGUAAAAUAGACACCUUUUAAUUGGACCACAUUUUGUCUCUCUCGACGUAGGCCUCAGUGUCAUCAAGGAGACUCUCCUUGACAUGCAGUCACGGCCAUGAUCCAUCUUCAGAGCUUCUCUUUCUUCCCCAAGGUAAGUCUGUCAGCAGAGAACCCUGACCGCACCCUCAUGUGUUUUCUCCCCCAGGAGGCGCUUGGAAACCACCGUGAAUUGGACCGCACUGGGAAACACAGAUGAGGAAAGUCAACAACGCUUUGUCCUUCAGUGCCUGGCUCCUUUUUCAGCUCGUCUUGCGACUCCCGGACGCCUGUGAGGCUCUAAUUCCCUGGGUCCCAUUGCCAUGUCUCUGGAUUUGCGAAGAUCCACCGCACCUUCUGUGGAACUCCCGUGUCGGUGAACUUUUGUGCCACGGCCCCUAAUUCUGCCCAUGGUCAUCCGCACCUGCACGACUUAGGGUCCAUGUUCCUUGGACGGGAAGAGACAGGCAGGAGUCGGAAUGAUGAACCAGCACACUGGGGCGUUUUCUCAUGUAGCCCAAGUGACCCCAUGGUCUUCUCGAGCUUUGGAACCAGUCGCGUCCCCUUUGACACUGCACCCGGCUCCCAGUCUCUCAAUCUUGUUGGCCCUCCGGCGAUCUCCCGUUGGAUGAAUUGCUCCUGCUGAAACUCCAGUCCCCUUUGAUUUGCGCUUCAUUAAUUAUUCAUGAUUCAGGUUGGAAGGCCUGCUGACGACCCCCUGUGGCCGUUCUCUGAGCUUUCCUGUCACAUCGUUUCCUUCCACGCUCUUUGGUUCCUUAUGGUCCUGCUCCCUCUGCUGUCAGAGGAGCAGAGAGUUGAUCUUAUUCAUUCUGGAUACGGAUACUUUCUAGGUGAUCUGGAUAAUCAAGAUAACGACCCUCAACAGCGGCGGAGAGGGAGCAGCCAGUUGGUGUGUCUCAGAAAAUCCCACUGAGUUCCGAGGCCUCCUAGAUGUGGAAUCCUGCUGAGAGUUGUUCCCAGGUCAGAGAAUGGAGAGAGCCUGUGCAUGAUGGGACAUCCCCGCCUAGAUCUUUCAGUGAGUCUCUACCUCAGCUACUCUUAGGAUCAGGGGGAGAACCAUGGUGUCAGACAUCCGGAAAGAAGACGGGAUGAAUGUUUUACCUCUGAAGUACAUCCCAAAUGUGGGAGUUAACUUCAGCUUUGCUGGGGUCUAUUUGGCCAGUGAAACUCUGCCUGGUUCCUUCGCACAUCCGGAAGCCACUUCACGGGGGGCCGUCGCAACUGGAACCACACACUUGGCAUCGGCGGUUGAGCCAAAUGGGGACUCGUGGUGCAAGCAACGCUCCCCACGUGUUAGCGUGCGUGAGAUGCGGUUGGCGGGAUUUUACUAGGUGCGUGUUGGUAGAGUGGGGCUGAGGUUUUCUUGCUCCUGUGGAUGUAUAGCAAGUCAAAGGUCCUGCCCAGCCCUGCGGUCCCCUCAGUCAACUCUGUUUCGGAGACGUAACGAUUUGGAUUGCCAACAAGUCAAGAAAUGUUCAAGCCCUUGGAUGUAGGGUAAAGAAAGAGAGAUCAGACUGUCACUGUGUCUAUGUAGAAGGGGAAGACAUAAGAGACUCCAUUUUGAAAAAGACCUGUAGUUUAAACAAUUGCUUUGCUGAGAUGUUGUUCAUUUGUUGCCUUGCCUCAUCCACUUUGCCCCAGCCCCUUUGACCCAACUUGGAGCUCAGAAAACCUGUGUUGUAUAAAAUCGAGGUUUAGGGGA